UGAUCUCGAUCUGUGUGUAAACGAAGAAGAUGGAGAUUUCAAGCUUAAGCCUUGGCUGUAUGCCCUUAGCUUUCUAGGCCUAGGUAAGGACUCGAAUUUGCCGUACCCGAUCAGUUUGAUCAAUGCCCAGCGGAGCGGUACCCAAAGAAUACCUCAGGUGGUAGGCAUUGUCAAAUCCUGUACACCAAAUGGGCUUGGUGAUUUUUUCAUAACACUGAAGGAUCGAACAGGCACAAUUGGCGCAGCUAUCCCCGCAAGGUCCUGUCUGAAGGAAAUAUUUGUAGGGAAAUUUCGGUUGGAUGUGUUUUCAUUCUGAAGCAGGUGGUUGCACUCUGCCCAGCUCGCUCCUCCUGUUAUCUCAAUAUUACACUGAAGAAUGUGGUAAAGUUGAUUGCUAAGGACUGUGGACCUCCGGGAAAACAAAUUAUGCCUCCAUUAACAUUCAAGCAUGGAGUUGAAUGGAAUGGCGAGCAAACGUAUAAUACAAGAAAGAUUGCUAAAAUAACUGCUGAUGGUGAACCUAGAAGAAAUUUGACUAGUGAAAUGACAACCAAUAGCAGAGAGGAAUUCCAUCCUGAAAUUUUGUCUGACAACAUCUUUGCUGCAGCUACCACUGGCAAGCUUUCCACAAGAACGGGUGAAUCUGGAGGACUGAUUUCCAAAGCUUCAGUUAAGGGAUGGACAGAUGAGCAACUAGAGAAGCUAUUCUCUGAUUAUGAGGAUGACCUUGACUUAGUUCGUCCUGCUAUUUGAUUUGCCCAAGAAGUACUGCUGGUAUUCUCAUUAACCAUCAUUCGCAUCAUAAGUUCUCACAGCAUUUUUUUUUUUUUAGUUUUUGUUGUGGCCAAUGGGUUGUUUUAGACCU